rnacentral:rRNA from 1 species
UACAGAGGGGGCAAGCGUUGUUCGGAAUUAUUGGGCGUAAAGGGCGCGUAGGCGGCCUGAUAAGUCAAAGGUGAAAUCCCUCGGCUCAACUGAGGAAUUGCCUUUGAAACUGUCAGGCUUGAGGCCGGGAGGGGGUGGCGGAAUUCCCAGUGUAGCGGUGAAAUGCGUAGAUAUUGGGAGGAACACCAGUGGCGAAGGCGGCCACCUGGACCGGUUCUGACGCUGAUGCGCGAAAGCGUGGGGAGCAAACAGG